rnacentral:snRNA from 1 species
GUGCUCACUUCGGCAGUACAUAUAUUAAAAUUGGAACGAUACAGAGAUUAGCAUGGCCCCUGAACAAGGAUGACACGCAUAUUCGUGAAGUGUUCCAUAUUUUU